rnacentral:rRNA from 1 species
CACGAAAACAGUUGAGCUAAAUAUUUAUGGUUUUUAGACCUAAUGUGUGUAACAUAACAUUAUAAAAUAACUAUUUAGAAGUGAUAGGCUUGUCAAAUCUGUAGAUAUCUUGAUAUCUUACUAAAACAUUUAGUGUAAAAGCAGUUUAACAGUGAUAAGGCUGUUAAUAAUUAUAAAUUUUUAUAAAAAUAUUAUUUAGCGGUUUAAUCACCUGAAUUUAACAUAUAAUACUAUUCUUCUAGUACUAUUAUAUUUUAAAUAAGAUUAUUGAUUAAUUAUUAUAUCAAGAGUUAAUGUAACUAUAAGUAAAAUAUAAUUAUUAAAAAUGAACUCGGCAAUAUACUUUUCAACUGUUUAUCAAAAACAUAGCUAUAUGUAUUUAAUAUAUAGUAAUUUCUGCUCCAUGGUAAACUAAAUAGCCGCAGUACCCUGACUGUGCAAAGGUAGCGUAAUAAUUUGACUUAUAAUUGAAGUCUCGUAUGAAUGAAAUAUUGGAAGGUAACUUUAUCUUUAGUAUUUAUUGAAAUUGCUAAGUGGGUGCAAAUACCCAUGAAUAAAAGAAAGACGAGAAGACCCUAGAAAUUUGAAUUAAUUGUAUAAAUUUCUUUUUGUUGGGGCAACAAGGUAACAAUUAAUUUACCAUUAUUACAAGAAAAUAUUAUUGUAAGAAUAAAUUACUCUAGGGAUAACAGCGUAAUUUAUAAUAGUUUGCGACCUCGAUGUUGGACUAGGAAACAAUUGUUUAAAA